AACGAUAGCGUUUAAUCAAUGGCUCGAUCUCUUCUUCUUCGUCGUCGUGAUACCAUGGAUCGACUGUUCUGUUUCUUCGGCGUCGUUUAUACCAUGGUCCGACUGUGUUGCUCAUCCUAGCCAUGGCUCUCUCUACCAAUCUGAGCAGAUCCGACGAUGAUGUUACCCCCAUCGCUGGUCGAUCGGUUGUGGUGGAUUUCUUCUUCUUCGAUCCACCAGAAUAUGUUCAUCAGAUCCGACGAUGAUGGGUUUCUUCUUCUUCUACUUUUCGUUCCCAGAAAUUGGAGGAGAUCCGAGGGAGAAAAAAGACGAGUGCUCCGGUGAAAGAGGAGAGCUAUUUUUGUGUGGAACUGAGUGUCAUUUUAACCGAGUUGUAUCGGCUAAGAUGACAUCAAAUUAGACCAGUGGCCGAGUUUCAAGUCCUACACCUUAGGAGACGCAACACAGAAUGUGUUCCUUAUGUAAGUUUUCUUCUCACAGUGGUUCCAUCUCUAGGUUUAUUAUGAUUUUCAAAUUAGUAUUAUUA